rnacentral:lncRNA from 1 species
GAACUCCACGAAGGACACUUGGGGACCACACUGGUCAUACCCGAGGGGGCGGGAGGCGGAAAAAGUAUCUCCAAACGCAACUCUGCCAGGUCUUACCCUUCGCGUCCCCCGGUCCUCGGGACAGAAGCAGCCUUGGCACCUCUCGCCCAGCUCAGGGGCUGCUUGUCCGACAGAACGAAAUGUCCCCCACUGACUACGGAGAGCUCUGCAGGGAGCCGAGGCCCCCGCCCGGGCCAGGGGAAGGCGCUGGCGCCGCGGGAGCCAAGAAGAGGCGGAGGCGGAAAAGAAGUGGAGAAGGAAGGGGCGGCAGAGGGAGUAGCAUGCGGGAGGCGGCGCCGGCGCCGGGCUGCGGGCGAGGCGGGGUGGGGUGGAGCGGGGUGUGCCUCCCGCGGGCGGUCAGCGAGUCAGUCCGUCCGCGCGCCGGCGUCCCAGUCUCCAGCGCCCGCCCGCGACAGCGACCGGGACUGGCGCCCCGCUGCUCCGACCGCAGGCGAGCCUCGCUCCUUCCCCGGCUCUUCACAGGGUCCUCCCGCGAGCCCCGCCUGGCCCCGCGUAGGGCCGUCAGUCUCCGCCAGCCCGGGAGCCCGUCGCCUCGUCCCGCUCACGCGGUCCCUGCCUCUCCCUCCGCUCGCGCUGUCUCUGGCUCCCUCUCGCUCCAGUCCCAUUUAUGAAGCGCGGUCCCAUCACGUGUUAAUGAGCCUUUGUCCUGCCCUGGCAGCGGCGGCGGCGGCAGAGACCCCGCCGAGUGAACUGCGCGGGGAGGGACCUGCGCUCGGCGCCUGCGGCUCCAAACUUUGCUUGGCACGGGGGACCCGCCGCGGCGCCAGUCCUGGGGCCAGAGGGGACAAGCCUCUUCUGCCGCGUCACCUGCUUCUCCUCUUCCUCCUCCUCCUCCGCCGCGCUCCCGGAGGCCCCCGCUGCCAUGACCCCACAGUGCUCUCGGGUACCCUCACACCCUGGCCAGACCAACAAGGGGCUCGAGCCUGCACCGCCCCCGACCUCGGGGCCAUUAAUCACGCGCGCCCCAGCAGCGCGCAGAACCAACACCUUGCGCGGGGGUCACGUCUGGGGCGGCGGGCUGAGCCGGAAGGGGAAGGGGAGCGGGAGCCCUGGGGCCGAGGCGCGCUCGGCCCAGGGGUGUGGUGUCGCGCCCCCCUCCCUCCGCCCCAUGCCGCCCCCGAGGCGGGUGGCAGGGAGCCGGGCCCCGGGCCAGGCUGA